UCUAGGUUGAAGCAAUUCUGAAUUUUGGAAAUAUCUUGAAGAGCUGACUGAACGUCAAGAACCACCACUGAUGAACUCCAGAGGUGACGAAUUCCAUGGAGACAUGCGUUUGAUGCAGAUGGGCUACUUCAGUGAUUCCACAAAUUUUUCCUGAGCCUUGAAAGAGGUGAUAUAUACGUCCUGGAUAUGUCUUUGCUUCCCAUCCUCACUUACCUUCAGUACUUUGGCCAGUUGAAUCUCUGCAUGAACCUCCACCCACUGCGGUAUGAAGAGUCCCUGAAGACGUCUGGGAGACAUAGUAAUCCAUGGGUGUAAAGCAUUUAGGAUCACCCAGGAUACCUACCUCUCAGGAUACCUGUGACGGUGUUUCCAGCGAGGAUUACCUCAGGAGAGAAUACCAUUCUGAAUAUGGGGGACACUGUUCCAUGGAAGGGGUAUCAUAGACUGAAUAAACAUGGAAAAAUGA